rnacentral:rRNA from 1 species
GAGUUUGAUCCUGGCUCAGAAUCAACGCUGGCGGCGUGCCUAACACAUGCAAGUCGAGCGAGAAAAGGAGCUUCGGUUCCUGAGUAAAGCGGCGGACGGGUGAGUAACACGUGGGUAAUCUGCCCUCGGGUGGGGAAUAACUCGGGGAAACCUGGGCUAAUUCCGCAUGACAUUUCCGGUACUCAAGUAUUGGAAAUCAAAGCUGGGGACCCUUCGGGGCCUGGCGCCUGGAGAGGAGCCCGCGGCCAAUUAGCUAGUUGGUGAGGUAAUGGCCCACCAAGGCUCCGAUUGGUAGCCGGCCUGAGAGGGCGGACGGCCACACUGGAACUGAGACACGGUCCAGACUCCUACGGGAGGCAGCAGUGAGGAAUUUUCGUCAAUGGGGGAAACCCUGAACGAGCAACGCCGCGUGGAGGACGAAGACCUUCGGGUUGUAAACUCCUGUCUGACGGGACGAAAGCUAUCGAGGUUAAUACCCUUGGUAGUUGACGGUACCGUAAGAGGAAGCCCCGGCUAACUUCGUGCCAGCAGCCGCGGUAAUACGAGGGGGGCAAGCGUUGUUCGGAAUUACUGGGCGUAAAGGGCGCGUAGGCGGUCUGACAAGUCUUCCGUGAAAGCCCACGGCUCAACCGUGGAACAGCGAAGGAAACUGCCAGACUUGAGUCCGGGAGGGGAGAGUGGAAUUCCCAGUGUAGCGGUGAAAUGCGCAGAUAUUGGGAGGAACACCGGAGGCGAAGGCGUCUCUCUGGACCGGUACUGACGCUGAGGCGCGAAAGCCAGGGGAGCGAACGGGAUUAGAUACCCUGGUAGUC